GACGAACGCUGGCGGCGUGCUUAACACAUGCAAGUCGAACGGAAAGGCCUGCUUUCCCUUGUGGUUUGCGGGUACUCGAGUGGCGAACGGGUGAGUAACACGUGAGUGAUCUGCCCCCAACUUGGGUAUAAGCCUGGGAAACUGGGUCUAAUUCCCGAUAGGACUGCAGGGUGGUGCCUGUGGUGGAAAACGAUUUUCUAGUGGUUGGGGAUGAGCUCGCGGCCUAUCAGCUUGUUGGUGGGGUAAUGGCCUACCAAGGCGGCGACGGGUAGCCGGCCUGGGAGGGUGGACGGCGACAUUGGGACUGGGAUACGGCUCAGACGCCUACGGGAGGCAGCAGUGGGGAAUAUUGCACAAGGGGCGGAAGCCUGAUGCAGCGACGCCGCGGGGGGGAUGACGGCCUUCGGGUUGUAAACUCCUUUCGACCGCGAGGAAGCCACCUGGUUGGAAGGGUGGUGACGUUAGUGGUAGAAGAAGCACCGGCUAACUACGUG
rnacentral:rRNA from 1 species